UUUAAUGUCUGUGCCUUUGACUAAUAACCUUGCAGACAAAUUUUAAUUAUCAAAUUAAACGGUUCUGAAAAGGUCUGAUUGGCUAUGUUACUGGUAUUGUUGAUUCUAAUAGCAACUAGCGUAGUAUACGGUCAAACGGAGUGUCCAAAUUUUUCAACUUAUACAAGCCUCAAUGGUUUGCAGGAGAAUCUAAAUGGAACUUUCUUAAUUGUAUACACUUCCGGAGCCGUUAUCAAAUGUGAGAGAAUCAAAUAUACAAUCGACGUCAACAGUAUUACAACUGGCUAUGUCGAAUCACCCAAUUGUUGCUUGAAGCUUGAUGGUUUCGACUUUCGUUCGACUGAACUCAGCUAUUCCAUCGGUCCUGCACCUGGUUAUAGUACAACCGGUUGUGCUAUACCUUUAUCUGGUACGUUGAAUGGAUCCAUGAAAUUAUUGGCUUCAAUAGGAAAUGGUAGCUCGCAAUGCUUGAUAACUGUCGUAUGUCAUUCGGGUGGCUAUACUGCGUUUUAUAUUCUGUGCCGU